AUGUGGGAAAAUGCCACUCUGGACACGCCCAAUCUCAUCAGUUCUCAGAUGCUAAACAGAGUUAUGCUUGGUUAUUCCUUCAAUAGGAGACCGCCUAAGACUAUCAGGUACUUUAAGUU
rnacentral:rRNA from 1 species